CCAAAGCCCAUGGAUUACAUCAGCGUCCAUUCGACGGAUUUGGAGAAACGUGUGACACACUCCACAACUGAAGAAUCACCCAGGUAGUUUCUGCGCCCCGAAGAUCCUCCGCGCCCUGCCUAUUCAUCCUCGCCUCCACCUGACUCCACAACCAUUUAUUUUUCCUUAAUUCUCCAAUUUUGCCAAAUCUUCCUGGCAUGGUCUUUUAAAGUUGGCUUCUUUUUACCCCAGAGCAUAGAUUCUCUUUUUCAAGAUACAACGCCCGCCCCCAGCCCUUUUGUGCAGAUGUGGUGGUGUGGGAGGGAACGCACACAACCCGGCCUCUGGGACGGACUUCCUGAGUCUUGAUUCCCCAUCUGCUAAGCGAGGAUCACAGCAGCACCUGCCCCUCUGACUUGACCGCGGUGCCGUGAGGUCCAGGAUUUUCUAGAAGAUGAGUGCGAGCCAAGCAGUUUCCUUUGGAGCACCCGAAGGCACUCCUCUCUUAUUCUGAACCUGGUUCUGUGGGCCAUGAUGUCUGCACAGUGUCGGCGGAGUGCCGCUUCCUUCAGAAACCGGUCAAUGGGAGGUCUCGGAAUGAGAAGAUUCCCUUGUCCAUUCCACACCCUCACAAUGUCCUAGUCUCAGCUAACAAAACACCGAGUCCUGUUAGCGUGCAGCCAUGAUGGAGCAUGCACUUUGAGAACUUCCCACUGUCCCACGUGUUCUCUGUGGCCACUGAGUUACACAGUACACCAUUUUCUUGAACUUAUUCCCUCUGAUGAGCUGAAAUUUUUCUAUCUCUUGACCAAUUAAAAUUGAAAUAACAAAA